rnacentral:RNase_P_RNA from 1 species
GGCAGAGAGAGCUCAGCUCCCGUGGUCGACACUGAAAAUAAAAUGACGUCUUAAUACGUCAAUCAUACUGUCGACAAACGAGGAAAGUCCCCCCACCGUCUGGACAGGUGACCGGACGCAAGCUCGGAGUUGGAGACAACUGGCGCUGGAACAGAAACGAUACCACUCAACCGGACCAAUGAGACGUGCGAACCACCCCGUAAGGGACGGAAGUUAACCCGUCGAGGGAGCGAUUCUAUCCGUCAACAUCUGACGGUUUAAAACCGCAUUAGAUGGUUGAGAAUGGAUGGAACGGCGAAUCCUCACCGGUGCAAGUCCAUGCCAGAAAGGUAGUCUGGACAGGGCGUGGACGCUUAGCCGAAUGCUGAGUCGAACAGAAGGGGGCUUACUCCUCUCAGCC